UUAAGUUCAGCGGGUAUCCCUACCUGAUCCGAGGUCAACCUUAAAAAAUUAGGGGUUGCUGGCAAGCAUCCACAAGACAUCUAUAGCGAGAAGAAUUACUACGCUUAGAGCCAGAUGGCACCGCCACUGUCUUUAAGGCACACUAUUUCUAGUGAUGCCCAAUACCAAGCAGAGCUUGAGGGUUGUAAUGACGCUCGAAC
rnacentral:misc_RNA from 1 species